GCUCGAGGACGACCUCGGGCUCCAGCUCCUCAUCCGGACGACCCG
rnacentral:ncRNA from 1 species